CGUACUCCUGCAGUCGGUGUCCUGCUCCUGACUCGCCGUACGCUGGAGAAGGUUUCAGGUUCUGGAGCUGACUCCGGAUCUGCUGCAGUCGAACUUCUUUACUGCUGCAAACAACCACAGAACACAGCCAGCAGACUAAAGAGCUAAAAACAUUUGGGAAAUAAAAGAGCCGGAGAUCACCGGCCCGUAAGUGAGAACACUGUACACGAUGGGGUUGAACUGGAUCAUCUCAGUACUGGAAUCCAGAAGGAGUUCAGAUGAGACACACACACACACACACAGAGACCUGUGUGACCCUGAAGCUCUACCUCUGGAUGGAGUUCCUGGUCACUUGGAGAGCACACGGUGGUGCUGAGGAUGGUUCAAAUGAAUGAACAGCCUGAAGAUCCAUGAGGUUUGCUGUGGAGGCUUCGAGUCAAGACCCAUGAAGAUGGAUUUGGACCGUGAUUAAUAUGAACAGCUUUACACAAGUGUCCAUCAAUAAUGAACGGACAUUCGUUGUUAAGAAUGGGGUUUUUUUUGGAAUAAGUUUCUUCCUUACAAGGGUUUUUUUUGUGGCCCCUGAUUUGCUCAUUAUGGAUAAAGUAACAAGGACCUAUUUAUUCAAUUUCUUUCUUUACAGUUGUUUUGGGACAAUUGUAAAAACCGCUGUCCAAAUAACAGUGAACUUUUUCAUACUCGGAUCAUAGCAGCUGUGGGAGAACUUGAGUCGAGAACUUGAGAUAAAAAUAAAUGAGCUUCUGUCAAAUUACUCUGAUUUGAACCAAUUUAGGUUGCAAAGGGGGCGGAAAAUGUCCACGAAAUUCCAGAAACUUUUCAUAGAAACUUCAUUUGGGGAAUUUUGAAAAUAAUCCAAGUUGGAAACUUACCAGGAAUUUAUAAAGGAGUGGAGACUCGCUCUGUUUACAAGAAAGUACUUUAUUUAUCUACGUUUACACACUAUCAGAGUUCCUCACACUUCUGGAAUGUGUCCUGGAAGACUUCGUUUCUAAGCGUGUCAAGCUCCUUCUGCGAAUGGUGUCAAAACGGCGACCUUUGAGCUGCAUCUUUAUCUUCAGGAAAAGGGUGGAGUCUGCAUGAGCCAAAUCUGGGGAAAGGAGACGUGGUUACACAAGCUACUGUUGACCCUCUGUGGAAGGCUUGGAAACCAACCGAAUGGUUGAAAGGUCAUGGAGGACCAAAGUUUCUCCAAAACUAACGUGCAUCUUCGCUGGAACUAAGCAGAACAAAGGCUGUUUCAGCAAGACCUCCAUGUAGACCACGUUGGAGUGAAAAUCGCAAAGCCCCGACCUUCUCAACACUAUUGAACACCUUGUGGAUGGACUGGAACACCGAGUGCAGCCCAGACUUCCUCACUGCCUGAUCUCAAUACAGAUCUAGUAGCUGAAUAAUCACAAAUCGGAGUAACCAUACCACAAAAUCGACGAUAAGAUGUUCGACAAAACAUGAGAUCUUAAGGGUGAAUCUGAAAAGUUCUCCCAAUCCACCAGACAUGCAUGGAGAAUAUGAGGCAUUUAAAGUAUGGAAUUUCCAUUUGAAGGUUCUGAAUUUCUG